rnacentral:sRNA from 1 species
CGGGACUAUGUCGCGUGCGCGGAGCCACCUGCGCGCCGCUCUAUUCCUGGCAGCGGCGUCUGCGCGCGGCGUAACGACCCAGGUCGCGGCGCGGCGGGGCUUGAGCGCGUGGCCGGUGCCGCAGGAGCCCAGCAUGGAGUACCAGGAUGCCGUGCGCAUGCUCAAUACCCUACAGACCAAUGCCGGCUACCUGGAGCAGGUGAAGCGCCAGCGGGGUGACCCCCAGACACAGCUGGAAGCCAUGGAACUGUACCUGGCACGGAGUGGGCUGCAGGUGGAGGACUUGGAUCGGCUGAACAUCAUCCACGUCACUGGGACGAAGGGGAAGGGCUCCACCUGUGCCUUCACGGAAUGUAUCCUCCGAAGCUAUGGCCUGAAGACGGGAUUCUUUAGGUUCGGGAGCGGAUCCGCAUCAAUGGGCAGCCCAUCAGUCCUGAGCUCUUCACCAAGUACUUCUGGCACCUCUACCACCGGCUGGAAGAGACCAAGGAUGGCAGCUGUGUCUCCAUGCCCCCCUACUUCCGCUUCCUGACACUCAUGGCCUUCCACGUCUUCCUCCAAGAGAAGGUGGACCUGGCAGUGGUGGAGGUGGGCAUUGGCGGGGCUUAUGACUGCACCAACAUCAUCAGGAAGCCUGUGGUGUGUGGAGUCUCCUCUCUUGGCAUCGACCACACCAGCCUCCUGGGGGAUACGGUGGAGAAGAUCGCAUGGCAGAAAGGGGGCAUCUUUAAGCAAGGUGUCCCUGCCUUCACUGUGCUCCAACCUGAAGGUCCCCUGGCAGUGCUGAGGGACCGAGCCCAGCAGAUCUCAUGUCCUCUAUACCUGUGUCCGAUGCUGGAGGCCCUGGAGGAAGGGGGGCCGCCGCUGACUCUGGGCCUGGAGGGGGAGCACCAGCGGUCCAACGCUGCCUUGGCCUUGCAGCUGGCCCACUGCUGGCUGCAGCGGCAGGACCACCAUGGUGCUGGGGAGCCGAAGGCAUCCAGGCCAGGGCUUCUGUGGCAGCUGCCCCUGGCACCUGUGUUCCAGCCCACAUCCCACAUGCGGCUCGGGCUUCGGAACACGGAGUGGCCGGGCCGGACGCAGGUGCUGCGGCGCGGGCCCCUCACCUGGUACCUGGACGGUGCGCACACCGCCAGCAGCGUGCAGGCCUGCGUUCGCUGGUUCCGCCAGGCGCUGCAGGGCCGCGAGCGGCCGAGCGGUGGCCCCGAGGUUCGAGUCUUGCUCUUCAAUGCUACCGGGGACCGGGACCCGGCGGCCCUGCUGAAGCUGCUGCAGCCUUGCCAGUUUGACUAUGCCGUCUUCUGCCCUAACCUGACAGAGGUGUCAUCCACAGGCAACGCAGACCAACAGAACUUCACAGUGACACUGGACCAGGUCCUGCUCCGCUGCCUGGAACACCAGCAGCACUGGAACCACCUGGACGAAGAGCAGGCCAGCCCGGACCUCUGGAGUGCCCCCAGCCCAGAGCCUGGUGGGUCCACAUCCCUGCUUCUGGCGCCCCACCCACCCCACACCUGCAGUGCCAGCUCCCUCGUCUUCAGCUGCAUUUCACAUGCCUUGCAAUGGAUCAGCCAAGGCCGAGACCCCAUCUUCCAGUCCCCCAGUCCCCCAAAGGGCCUCCUCACCCACCCCGUGGCUCACAGUGGGGCCGGCGUACUCCGUGAGGCUGCUGCCAUCCAUGUGCUAGUCACUGGCAGCCUGCACCUGGUGGGUGGUGUCCUGAAGCUGCUGGAGCCCGCACUGUCCCAGUAGCCAAGGCCCGGGGUUGGAAGUGGGAGCCUCCCACACCUGCCUGCGUUCUCCCCAUGAACUUACAUACUAGGUGCCUUUUGUUUUCUGCUUUCCUGGUUCUGUCUAGACUGGCCCAGGGACCAGGGCUCUGGAAUGGGAGGCCGGGAGAGGAUGUCCUCUUUUUUAAGGCUCUGUGCCUUGGUCUCUCCUUCCUCCUGGCCGAGAUAGCAGGGGGGCUCCCCGGGUCUCUCACUGUUGCAGUGGCCUGGCCGUUCAGCCUGUCUCCCCCAACACCCCGCCUGCCUCCUGGCUCAGGCCCAGCUUAUUGUGUGUGCUGCCUGGCCAGGCCCCGGGUCCUGCCAUGUGCUGGGUGGUAGAUUUUCUCCUCCCAGUGCCUUCUGGGAAGGAAGAGGGCCUCUGCCUGGGACACUGUGGGACAGAGGGUGGCUGAAGUGAAUUAAAGCCUUUGUUUUUUAAG